rnacentral:lncRNA from 1 species
AAGAAACUAACUGUUACAUCCAACAGGUGGACUGCGAACACGCACAGAACAAAGGAGAGCCAAUCGCACCUCUUCAGAUCAAUCUUGCGCAGUCAGAAGGAACUCCAACUGAACCACCUCAGCUUGGACCGCAGGACAGUCCUGCAACUCUUCUAGUUGCACCUCUUCAACUUCCAUCGCCUGAAACCCUCUUCAGUCCUCCAUUGAAGACUAUUCUUGCGCAAGAUGAAAAAACUGAAACUCCUUUCAUCCUUCCAAUGCAAACAGUCCAUGCCCAGGAGGAACAAAUGGUAGUCCAAUGGCCCAAACCAAAGGAGCAUGCAGAUCAAUGCUUGCCCAAAC